UGGGGAAUAUUGGGCAAUGGGGGAAACCCUGACCCAGCAACGCCGCGUGAAGGAAGAAGGCCCUCGGGUUGUAAACUUCUUUUACCAGGGACGAAGAAUGUGACGGUACCUGGAGAAAAAGCAACGGCUAACUACGUGCCAGCAGCCGCGGUAAUACGUAGGUGGCAAGCGUUAUCCGGAUUUACUGGGUGUAAAGGGCGCGUAAGCGGGGAUACAAGUCAGGUGUGAAAUCUAUGGGCUUAACCCAUAAACUGCACUUGAAACUGUAUCUCUUGAGUGUCGGAGAGGUAGACGGAAUUCCUAGUGUAGCGGUGAAAUGCGU
rnacentral:rRNA from 1 species